rnacentral:lncRNA from 1 species
GAGCCUGUGGUACAGCCCACCCUCCAAGCAGACAGCACCACAGUAACAGAAGCUGGUUCUGUGACCCUCACCUGCCUCUCAGAAGACCCUGGACUCUCCAUCCGUUGGUUCUUCAAUCACCAGGGCCUGUAUUUCAAUGACAGGAUGACUUUGUCCCAGAAAAACAGCAGACUCAGCAUAGACCGAGCCAGGUGGGAGGAUGCCGGGGAGUAUCAGUGUGAGGUCUCCAAUGGGUACAGCUCUAAGAUGAGCCUCCCAGUCCAAAUAUCUGUGGUGAGUGAGUGACCUUGCCUCUCGUCGUGUGCCGCAGUGGGGAGACUUGUUUGUCAAUAAGAAAAGUGAAGAAAAAUUCUAGGGAAGACACCAAGACAGCCAGCGUGGUGAUGAAGACCUGCCAUCUCAGGAUAAAACACGAGUCAGGGGGCUGGAGAGAUGGCUCAGAGGUUAAGUGCACUGACUGCUUUUCCAGAGGUCCUGAGUUCAAUUCCCAGCAACCACAUGGUGGCUCAUGACCAUCUGUAAUGGCCCUCUUCUGGUGUUAUAAAUAAAUCUUAAAAAAAAAAAAAUC